UGGAAGCCAUGGCCGGUGAACCUCCCGGUUAGUGUUCAAGUGCCCCGAUUUCAAAAUUAACAAGCGCUAGACCAUGCUAAGGUUGCGAUGAACGAAUGGGAGACAUUACUCACCAGAUUUAGUGGCAAAGAGGCCCCGGCCCCGGCAAGGUGCAACCCGCGACGAACCCGGGUCUCCGGUGAGCAAUCCACAGGAUACCGUCGACUCUGGCGACCAAGGGCCAGGCGGUACGUGAUCUACGCUCGAUAACCAUGCACCCCAACCCCACGACGAGCACCGAGCGGCAAUGGAGGCAAGGCGAGGGGCGCGACGACUUUCUUUCCUUCCAAGGCGUAAACAGCAACCUCACAACGGUACUUGGUGCUUGUAAUGCUCCGGCCAGAUGGGUGAGACAGUCGCGGAUCCCAGACUAUAUAGCGCGGAGUUCGAUAUGCUCGACCGGAGCGAACCCGAGAUUUUCGCCUGGUGGUUGAGAUCGUCGCGCUCGCAAUGGGGAAGAUGACUCCAGCUGCCUAGUGUAGAGGGUUGGC
rnacentral:lncRNA from 7 species